rnacentral:piRNA from 1 species
UGGCCAAGUUAAGUGGCUCUCUUAUCCACAA